AGAGAGAGACAUGCGCGCAUAUCAAUAAGCGGAGGAAAAGAAACUAACAAGGAUUCCCUUAGUAACGGCGAGUGAAGCGGGAAGAGCUCAAAUUUGAAAUCUUCAAGGUUCUACCUUGACGAAUUGUAGUUUAAAGAAGUGUUUUCUGUUGAAGUUUUGGUAAAAGUUCUUUGGAAUAGGACAUCAUAGAGGGUGAGAAUCCCGUAUUUGACCAUUAUUUUCCAGCUUUGUGAUACACUUUCAAAGAGUCGGAUUGUUUGGGAAUGCAGUCCAAAAUGGGUGGUAAAUUUCAUCUAAAGCUAAAUAUUGGCGAGAGACCGAUAGCGAACAAGUACCGUGAGGGAAAGAUGAAAAGAACUUUGAAAAGAGAGUUAAACAGUACGUGAAAUUGUCAAAAGGGAAGCGUUUGACACCAGUGUUGUCUUCUCGAAAAUCAAUUAAAAAUGGCUCGAUUUUGUAUUGCUUGAGACCUUAAAAGCUCACUGUACAUUUUUCGUGUCUUUUUUAAUGCACUUUUCGUUUAACAAGUCAACAUCAGUUUCUUUUGUUGUAAAAGGGUCAUUGGAAGGUGGCUUUCUUUUCGGAGAAAGUGUUUAUAGCCUUUGGCCUCUGCAAUCGGAGAGACUGAGAUCUGCAGCGUAGACUCUUCGGGGUUAGAUACAUUUGUGCUAAGUUAUAGCUUUUUAUAGACAACUUGUUGACUAUAAUUAGUCUUGUAGCUUACUCGCUUAUGCUAUUUUACCUACGCUUAGGAUGUUGAAGUCAUCGUAUCGCGC
rnacentral:rRNA from 1 species